rnacentral:misc_RNA from 1 species
AACCCCUCCCGCACGGACUUCCUUUUCCUUCGUCGUUUCUCACAGACACCGGUGACACGGAAAAGUUAAGACGAAGAAAGCGCCGCGCUGACGUGACUGCCUCCCCCCCUCCCCCUUCCAUUUCUUUCAGUUUCGCUCCGCCCUUUGACUUGUGCGCGCCCUCCCGCCUCCCCUUCUCCGGUCACGCGGAACUGCUGGCAGUUCAAAGGCAUAAUAAUCUAAACGUGUACCUCACCACGCAUCACGACAUACCUUUUUCUACGGAUUCUACCAUGCGCCGCACCUUCAACAAGCUGGGCCUCUCUGCUCUGCGCGCCUGCCGUGGCGCCGGUGCGGCUGGGACCGCUGCGUCCGCUCAUAUGUCUGGAUUCGACCGAGUGCCGUCCACAUCUGCGCCGACGGCGCUCACGGUGCCGCGCCGCUCCGCCAGCGACGCCGCGCUCGCCGAUGCCACCCGCCGAGAGCUGGAGGAGGAGAUGGGUCGCAGCGACAAGCCAGAGCAGCCGACGCCGCCAGCCGGCUGGCAGGUGGUGCGCAAGCCCGGCACGUGUACCUUUGACCUCACCAAGUCUUUCGAGGGUGAGGAGCUGGUGGUGCGCUACAGCACGAACCAGGACUCCGAUAAAGCAAACAGCCACGACAUUUUUGUGUACAUUACACAGACGAAUGGGCAGACGAUGCAGGCGGAUCUGAGCAUUGAGGAGGGCGAGCUGGUGCUGAACAACAUCCGCUUCUACGACGAGGCAGCUCUCGCGAAGGACACCAGCGCCGAGGCGGAGGCGAAGCGGAAUGAGCUGUACACCGGCCCGCUGGUGCACGAGUUAGACUACGAUCUCCUGAACUGCGUGAUGACGUACCUGGAGAAGCGCGGCGUGGACGAGAAACUCGGCGAAUUCGUGGUCUUGUACAGCUUCUGGGCGGAGCAGCAGGACUACGAGGCGUGGCUGACCACCAUGAACAAGUUUGCCUCGUAGGUGACGAACAGUUUGCAGGAGAGCCGGUGGAGGAGAGCGCGAGAGAGAGAGCGAAGCGAGGGACCCACGCUGGCAUGCUCGCUCUCUCUUCGCGUUUGUGUCUCUGUGAUUUGUUUGCGUUCAACAGAGCGGGUGCGUGUAAGAGCGACGGGGUUGGUGGUCGUGGCAGGGGACAAGUGUGGGCGAAGUAGUGAAUGGAGGGGGACGCACAACGGGCGACUGGCUACCCUCAAACCUCCACUCAGCUAGGAAGCUCAGAAGGCAAAGGCGGCAAGAGGGGGUGGAGUGGAGUAGAGCGGAGAUGCAACGCCUGACUUAUGUUGGGGCGCUUACGUCUCUCUCAUUCUAAGUUUCCUCCUCCUCCCUCCAACACCGCUAACACCCUCUUCACGCGCGUCUUACCUUGCGCCUCGACUGCUGCGCAGCUCCGCGCAAGUGCGGUCCACAUGUUCCUCUCCUUCCCCACAGAGAGAACUUCUCUCUGUACGUGCGCGGAUGGGAAAACAAGUGAGAACCUGGUCGUGCGACUCUGCUUGAGGGUGCGAUGCAGGCUUGCUAUCGUCGAUUCCAACACCCUUCCCGCUUCCGCCAUCGCACUUUUCCCACGAUGACAGCGGCAAACACAGAAGGGGGGGGUGGCACAGCGAAGGGGGAGAGGCAAGGGUGUGCAUGCAAGAAGAGGCGAUCAUUCGCACUUGAGCUGUGAUGUCGAGGAGUGAGGUGGGAGAGGGGAGGUGCACACUCGGCGGCUCGCUGCGCGACGUGCUCUUGUUCUCCCCUCCCCGUCAGUGCUGUUGCCGCCCUCAUCUGUUGUGGGCGCGAGUGGAGAAGUGCACGCGCCAGUGAAAGCGACCGUAGCUUAGGUGCUGCUUCCCCUCUCAUGGUCAGAGCUCCCCUCCCUUCUUCGACCUUACUGUGCCGCGGCUUUUUCUUAAGCGUACAUAACUGUUUGUGUGCCUCGGUAAAGGGCACAAGAACGAUGGAGGGGAGGAGGACGCGCCGGGGGAGAGGGGGGCGGCGGGUGAUGUUUUUCGACAGUCGCCCUCCCCUUAAUCUCUCCCAUUACGCUCCUCCUCUUCAUGUCACCGCGGAAGC